GCAACGUUGAGACCAGGAGCGCGGGAGUAGUGAAGGUGGAAGUGAUAAUGGUCAUUAUUGGGGCUAAAGGUGGGGUAUGGGGUGCGUUAAGUGGGGGAUGAAAGCCCCGGGCGCAACGGGGGAACUGCAUUCAAAACUGGCGAGCUAGAGUAUGGUAGAGGGUGGUGGAAGUUCCUGUGUAGCGGUGAAAUGCGUAGAUAUAGGAAGGAACACCAGUGGCGAAGGCGACCACCUGGACUGAUACUGACACUGAGGUGCGAAAGCGUGGGGAGCAAACAGGAUUAGAUACCCGGGUAGUC
rnacentral:rRNA from 1 species